CUUUCAACUUUCGAAAAAGAGACGAAAUUUACAAAGAAAACAGAACGAUCGUACGUGGCUGUACACGAAAAAUUGCACAACAAAUCAAACUAGAAAAAUGUGAUCGUCGUGUGAACUCUGGUGUCGCGGCUCUGCAUGCUUUCCACUUCAUGCUGUUUGGCAGGUGAAGAUAAACAACAUCCCGUUUUCGCCGAAGUCACCGAUGUCGCUGGAGUGGGAUGGAUCGCUUUCCUUAAAUCCCCUCCUGUCCUCGUGUACACCCAUGUGUGUGUGGGUGUAUUCACGAGGUCGCCCUUUUUCCUAUCCUACCUGGUGUAAUUCAACUAUUCGUUAACCUCAACUUCGAUAUCUCCGUUUUUACCUCACAACUUUGUCUGUGGGUAAACAAUCAAAUUCGGAAAUAUUUUAACUUGAUUAAACACUUCAGGCAAAGUGUAAGGCAUCUCCUCGUAAUAAUUAUUUGAAUGCAAAUUAAGUAUAGCAAUAAGAUAAAGGUAAUAGUGAUCAUUUUUUAGAUUUCAAAAAUUGUAUUUUGCACUCUUGCGUUUUUUUGUUCUAUUACAAUUUACAACUAAGAAACGAGACUAAAUGUACAAUAAAAAUUUACACGUUUGCACCGUGAAAACUGAAAGGUGCAUCAA